rnacentral:tRNA from 3 species
UGCCCGGUGGUGUAGUGGUAGCACAUCAGCCUUUGGAGCUGAGGGCCCUGGUUCGAGCCCAGGCCGGGUAGCCA